GGAUGUGAGGGCGAUCUGUCACUCCAUUGAGCGCCAGGGUUGAUUUGGCUGAUCUGUCUGUCUAGGCAGGUGUUCCCAUCCUCCCUUAUGGCUCCAUGUGUGUCCCUCCCAAGCUGCACGGUUGAAGAGGACGACCAUCACUGAUAGAGGAGGACUGUUCUUUGGUCAAAGGUAUACGAGUAGCUGCGCUCCCUUGCUAGAACUUCCAAACAAGCUCUCAAGGUCCCAUUCUUUAUUAGAAAAACACUUACUUUUGCUUUUC
rnacentral:snRNA from 1 species